GCGGGCAAGGCCCCCGAUCACGUGAUACCGCCCCCCAACUCCGGGCGGAAGAGGCCAGCGACAGCGCUGCACGAAGCGAGUGGGCGGGCGCUCGUGCCCGGCUAAAAGAUGGCUGCUGGCGCCUGGCAGCCACCGCCUGGGAGGUUACUGUAAGGCCCGCAGCUCCCGCCAGCUCCCGCGGACUGCUGCCGCCUCCUUACCAUGAAGCCAGUAAGUCGUCGCACGCUGGACUGGAUUUAUUCAGUGAACAGUCAAGAAGGAUGGAGCUGCCCAUUUGCCAUGGAAAUGGAGAGCCAGCAGACAGCUGAUGCAUAAACAACUUGUCCCUCAAACAAGAGUGGCUAACUUCAGCCAUGACACCGUUUUAGUAUGGUGACCACACCACAUGAGCAAACCAAAUACUGGUAAAACCAGAGAACAGAAGAAUUCCUCAGCUCAGGACAAUUCUUAUCCCUACUGACGACUCACAAGACAUCCAGUUCCAGGUCCAGAAGAGGAGCCUGCUCUCCCUGUUACUGUAGGGGUUGAUGGAGUAUCUUGACAAGCAGCCGUCCAUGUCGAAGGGACCCUGGCAGGAGAACUAGCCUUCCGGUGUGCAGAGACGGCUGCCACCCUUGGCUCCUCUGUUGUAUAGCUGCCGUCGUACUGCACAGACUGGAGCUUCUGGCACAUGGAGCGGAGGACCCGCAGGAAUUCCUCCUGAGCCUCUGCACCCACCAUGGAGGAGCAGGAGCUCACCUCUCUCAGGUAACUCCGGAUCCGGCUUUCACAGCUGUAUCUCAGAUAGCCAGACUUAUUCCAAAAUCGGGACUCCAAGCCUUCAAACCACAGCGGGUCCUCAGCCCGGGUGUCGGCUGCGACGUUCUGGCUGACGUUGUACAGGAGGUCGGCCAGCAGUCUCUGCCUCUGUGGGGGCCUGCUCAUCACACAGUAGCUGCCGGGCGGCCU
rnacentral:lncRNA from 1 species